rnacentral:SRP_RNA from 1 species
GGCGCCAUCACAACUUUGAUUUUGAACCGUGUCAGGUUAGAAAUAAAGCAGCACUAAAAACAUCAUUGUGUGUGUAUGGCUUUUUA